rnacentral:rRNA from 1 species
UACAGAGGUCUCAACCGUUGUUCGGAUUCAUUGGGCGUAAAGGGCGCGUAGGCGGCCUUCUAAGUCGAGCGUGAAAUCCCCGGGCUCAACCCGGGAACUGCGUCCGAUACUGGAAGGCUUGAAUCCGGGAGAGGGAUGUGGAAUUCCAGGUGUAGCGGUGAAAUGCGUAGAUAUCUGGAGGAACACCGGUGGCGAAGGCGACAUCCUGGACCGGUAUUGACGCUGAGGCGCGAAAGCCAGGGGAGCAAACGGG